rnacentral:lncRNA from 1 species
UAUUUAUUACAUAUUGAAAAAUGAAAAGUAAGAUAUUAGUGAAAUAAUUGAAUUGUAGGGAGGUUAAAAUCGUCCAAAAUAUAAUUCUCCCUUAAUGUGAUAUUUUAAUAUAUUAUAGAUUAUAAAUAAUCUUACUUACUGUCCAAUGUAAGAACUCUGAUCCAUCAAGUGGCUACCACCUUUCAUUUGUUUAGAUGCCUAACAUCACCUUAGUGAACAGUAACAUAAUUUUAUUAGUGUACAUGAUAAUUCCAGGCUUUCCUACCCCCCCUCUCAGGGAAACAUUUACUUUUGCAGUUUUCACAGUACUCAUUGCAUAAAAUAGAAGGAAAAAUUGAAGAAGCGAUAUUGUCCUCAACUUCCCUGGUUAUCUGUCUUUACAAAAGUUCUGACCAUAAGCUUCAAAAUUCAUAACUUAGAAACAUGGAUUGUUUGAACAUUAGCUAAUACAGUACCUGGAAUGCCAACUUUUCCAUGACUUCUUCAUAAAAGGGUAAUGCCUCCUUGAGUUUCCCAAGAUCCAUCAGGGAGUCACCAUCCUUCAAUGCCU